ACGCUUCGCAAACCCUAAAAUCAAUCCAGAAAAAUCCCAAUUCUCUGUUCUUGCGGAAUCAUGGUAUCGCCCGCCGACAAGGCCCAUGCUGUCAGGGCCGCCGGUGAAAUAGUCCUGAAUACUGGAUUCAUUCUAGCCAUCACAAAAUUCACUCAACACUACCUAGUACGCACCAGAGAUGCUAUAAUCAGAAAUAAAGAGUUCGCGAUGGGAGUGAAGGCUUCUGAUGGGGUGAAGCCUUGAAGCAUGGCAUGGGAGUGAAGGCCAAGACUUAAUAUAUAUCUAUUUUUUGUUUACUACAUUAUCCUUAUGGGUGCAUGUAAUGUGAUGGAUGUGCUUGUGUUUUAGGAUGACCUCUCUUGGUAAAAAUUUUAAGACCUUGCACGUUAUGUAUUUUAUCUGAUAUUAGCAGUAGGGUGCAAUGUGCUUUGGCCAUGUCUAAAUAUCUCUUGAUAAAAUUCUCAUUAGGAUUAUAGUAAAUAAUACAAGAUAAACCAUGUAUGGUUGUUGCAAACCCAUAAACCAUGUAUGAUUGUGGCAAACCCAUCUGUAUGUAACUGAAUCAGUACAGGGGUCAUAUUCAUAAUAAACAGCUUUGGCUUGCACAUUGUUGGUUGCAUGCACUAAAGUUAUGAAACAUUGUUUAGACUACUAAGUAGCCUAUGCAUAUAACUGGAAAGAGAACAAAAAAAAAAAACCAAGACUUUGCAGUUACGUGUGCAAUCAAGUUAUAAAAGAGAACAGAGGAGCACAGCAUUACCAAUUUUUUUGCGUGAUACGUUGGUGAUCUCUUAUUUAGGGGGAUUGUUGGGUUGGGUGUCUCUAACUUAGGCUCGCUAUCUGCAUUUCUAAUUGAAGAUGUUGAGGGGCUCUAGUCUAGCUUACUGAUUCUCUGAUGUUGAGUGGAUGCCUAAAAUUAAUCACCUAGAUGAUCAUUGUACAAUUGCUUUCCUGGUGGGACUGGUCAAAGUGAGAUUUUGGCUUCGUCCUGUUAGACUGAAGGAUGCCUACAGUUCUUCUCUUUGUGUGAUUUAUGAAGGGGGAGAAGUUAAAAAUUAAAUGUGUUUUCCUUUAUCUGCCAAUAGCUAAAAGCCUGGCAUAUUUGUAAUCUUGCAGCUUGUAGGAAAGGGUGCUUUAUCUGAAGGAGACAAGUUUUUGUUGAGAGAGAAUUCUCUCGCAUAGGAUGCAUUUAAGUUCCUACUCUAAUCUUUCUUUGAUCCAUAUAUACUUUUCAUUUUGGUUGGGACUGGUAGUCACUAAUGAUCAUUCACCUGUUGUAAGGGUGGACAGAUAUGAUAACUUCUGCCUUUUCUACAAGUCUGUUUGGAUGAUGCGGAAGAUCAUCCAUUUCUUCAAUUUAGCAAAUCAGCUCUAACAAAUUUGAGGAUCAUGCUGAAGGCGAACAACCUCUUGUUGCAAAAUUUAGAAGCUACAUGAAGACUUGACAAAUGGUUUCCAUGCCUUGAGGAUGAAUCGAUGAUUGGACUUGAUACUUCUUUUAGAUGGUUUGUGUUGCUGUUAUAAAUUGCAUGGUGAUGACAAUUGGAGUUACUGUGGUUUCUGUUGUGCAUGAGGAAGUGUUAGGUUAUUGUGAUGCCAUUUUUGCUUUGCUUAUGUGGCGGUUGCUCUAGUUUGGAUUUGUAGUUACAACUUCCUAUCAUUCCCUUCAUGUUUUUACUGGAGACUAGAUUCUAUUCCUCAUGUAUUUAAGCAAUAAGGUAUUCAAGAUUUUUCAUUUUUGAUGGUUC